GCCGGCAGCUAGCUCUCUGCAACUCUCACAUGGCCGCCCACUGAAGCUAAGCAGGGCUGUGCCCGGUCAGUACCUGGAUGGGAGACCACAUGGGAAAGUUAGGUUGCUGCUGGAA
rnacentral:rRNA from 1 species